AUUCUCCUAGUAACGGCGAGUGAACGGAGAUUAGCCCAUCACCGAAGCCUAUUCACUUUGUGAACAGGGCAAUGUGGUGUUUAGGUGUGUACCUGGGGAUACGUAUCUACUCGAAGUCCAACUCCGAUUAUGGCUUUGGAAUUGUGUCAUAGAGGGUGAAAAACCCGUCCGGGUAGAUUAGUGGAUAUAUACGUAUUCCUUAGAUGUGCAUGCCUUCGAGUCGGAUUGCUUGAGAAUGCAGUCCAAAGUGGGUGGUAAACUCCAUCCAAGGCUAAAUACUGGCGCGAGUCCGAUAGUAGACAAGUACCGUGAGGGAAAGUUGAAAAGUACUCUGAAGAGAGAGUAAAUAGUACGUGAAGCCGCUUGCAGGGAAGCUGGUGGAGUCAAGCUUCUUGUCUGGAGAAUUGUCAUUACGAGAUACUGUGAAUUGGAUAUGAGUUGGUACAGUAUGGAAAGACUGCUUGCAUUAUUGUAAGUUUUGUCCUUCUGGGAAGUGUGAUAAAUGCCGCUCUGUCUCCUUCUCGUAGUGCUCUAUUUUCCAAGACAUACAUCACUGUCGAUAGUAUUGUUUUGUCAGACAGUCUAACCUUACCUAGAGGGCAGCAAUGUUCUCUUAGUAAGGGAUGGCAGGUGGUAGCAUGAGGUUCGCUUCAUGUUGCUUAUAGUGGUCUUGACCUGCUGAUUGUCUUUCACUAUCAUUAUUAUUGAUGUUCCCAUGUUGCUUGUCAAUGUAC
rnacentral:rRNA from 1 species